GGCGAGUGGCGGACGGGUGAGGAAUAUAUCGGAAUCUACCCUUUCGUGGGGGAUAACGUAGGGAAACUUACGCUAAUACCGCAUACGAACUGAGGUUGAAAGCGGCGGACCGCAAGGCGUCGCGCGGAUGGAUGAGCCGAUAUCCGAUUAGCUAGUUGGCGGGGUAAAAGCCCACCAAGGCAUCGAUCAGUAGCUGGUCUGAGAGGACGACCAGCCACACUGGAACUGAGACACGGUCCAGACUCC
rnacentral:rRNA from 1 species